rnacentral:rRNA from 1 species
UACGGGGGGAGCAAGCGUUGUUCGGAUUUACUGGGCGUAAAGGGCGCGUAGGCGGUCGUGACAAGUCACUUGUGAAAUCUCCGGGCUUAACUCGGAACGGUCAAGUGAUACUGUCGGACUAGAGUACAGAAGGGGCAACUGGAAUUCUCGGUGUAGCGGUGAAAUGCGUAGAUAUCGAGAGGAACACCGGUGGCGAAGGCGGUUCUCUGGGCAUGUCCUGACGCUGAGGAGCGAAAGCAUGGGGAGCGAACAGG